UACGAAGGGGGCUAGCGUUGCUCGGAAUUACUGGGCGUAAAGCGCACGUAGGCGGCCUCUUAAGUCGGUGGUGAAAUCCUGGAGCUCAACUCCAGAACUGCCUUCGAUACUGGGAAGCUCGAGUCCGGGAGAGGUGAGUGGAACUGCGAGUGUAGAGGUGAAAUUCGUAGAUAUUCGCAAGAACACCAGUGGCGGAGGCGGCUCACUGGCCCGGUACUGACGCUGAGGCACGAAAGCGUGGGGAGCAAACAGG
rnacentral:rRNA from 1 species